rnacentral:rRNA from 1 species
AAGGCAUAGACAGCUAGGAGGUUGGCUUAGAAGCAGCCAUCCUUUAAAGAAAGCGUAAUAGCUCACUAGUCGAGUCGUCCUGCGCGGAAGAUGUAACGGGGCUAAGCACGUAACCGAAGCUUCGGGUGCAUAUUUAUAUGCACGGUAGGAGAGCGUUCUGUAAGCCUGCGAAGGUGUCUUGUGAAGGAUGCUGGAGGUAUCAGAAGUGCGAAUGCUGACAUGAGUAGCGAUAAAGGGUGUGAAAAGCACCCUCGCCGAAAGCCCAAGGUUUCCUGCACAACGUUCAUCGGUGCAGGGUGAGUCGGCCCCUAAGGCGAGGCAGAAAUGCGUAGUCGAUGGGAAACAGGUUAAUAUUCCUGUACCUCAAUUUAAUGCGAUGUGGGGACGGAGAAGGUUAAGUCAGCCGGGUGUUGGAUGUCCCGGUUCAAGCGUGUAGACAGAUUCUUUAGGCAAAUCCGGAGAGUCAAUGUCAAGGCGUGAUAACGAGUGAGCUUGCUCAUGAAGUGACUGAUACCAUGCUUCCAAGAAAAGCCACUAAGCUUCAGUUAAGUUGAGACCGUACCGCAAACCGACACAGGUGGGCAGGAUGAGAAUUCUAAGGCGCUUGAGAGAACCCAGGAGAAGGAACUCGGCAAACUAGCACCGUAACUUCGGGAGAAGGUGCGCCCCGGUAGGUUGUAGCAAUUUACUUGCGAAGGCCGAUGGGGUUGCAGUGAAAAGGUGGCUGCGACUGUUUAAUAAAAACACAGCACUGUGCAAACACGAAAGUGGACGUAUACGGUGUGACGCCUGCCCGGUGCCGGAAGGUUAAAUGAUGGGGUGCAAGCUCUUGAUUGAAGCCCCGGUAAACGGCGGCCGUAACUAUAACGGUCCUAAGGUAGCGAAAUUCCUUGUCGGGUAAGUUCCGACCCGCACGAAUGGCGUAACGAUGGCCACACUGUCUCCUCUUGGGACUCAGCGAAGUUGAAAUGUUUGUGAAGAUGCAAUCUACCCGCGGCUAGACGGAAAGACCCCAUGAACCUUUACUGUAGCUUUACAUUGGACUUUGACAAGAUCUGUGUAGGAUAGGUGGGAGGCAUUGAAGCGUGGUCGCUAGAUCAUGUGGAGCCAACCUUGAAAUACCACCCUGAUGUUGUUGAGGUUCUAACCUAGACCCCGAAACGGGGUUGGGGACCGUGUAUGGUGGGCAGUUUGACUGGGGCGGUCUCCUCCCAAAGAGUAACGGAGGAGUGCGAAGGUAACCUAGGUACGGUCGGAAAUCGUACUGAUAGUGCAAUGGCAUAAGGUUGCUUGACUGCGAGACGGACAGGUCGAGCAGGUGCGAAAGCAGGUCAUAGUGAUCCGGUGGUUCUGUAUGGAAGGGCCAUCGCUCAACGGAUAAAAGGU